UAAGCAAUACCUGAGUAAAGUGGCGCACGGGUGAGUAACACGUGACUAACCUACCCUGGAGUGGGGGAUAACCGAGGGAAACCUCAGCUAAUACCGCAUAAUACCCACGGGUCAAAGGAGCAAUUCGCUUCAGGAGGGGGUCGCGGCCGAUUAGUUAGUUGGUGGGGUAAUGGCCCACCAAGACAGUGAUCGGUAUCCGGCCUGAGAGGGCGCACGGACACACUGGAACUGAAACACGGUCCAG
rnacentral:rRNA from 1 species